rfam:Dipodomys ordii contig_61070, whole genome shotgun sequence.
GGUGGCUCAGUGGUAGAGUGCUUGCCUCCAAUGCAUGAGGCCUUUGGUUCGAUUCCUCAGCACCA